rnacentral:rRNA from 1 species
AUGGUACACUUGCCGAAGCCUUAGCAUCCUGAAAGGGUGGCUAUCCAGGACGACUCUAAACAAGAAUGAGAUGGUCUUAAAUGCUAGUCUUCUAUUUUGAAGGCGACACUGCCAAAUUGCGGGAACACCCUAAAGAUCUUACCACCAAGCCGCUUGUGGAAACACAGCGGUGGCCGAGCUAAUAGCCCUGGGUAUGGUAAAAGUGUAAGAUAUGUCACAAUGGGCAAUCCGCAGCCAAGCUCUAAGUCUCUACUAGAGAUAUGAGUGCUGUUCACAGGCCAAAUGGUAGUGGGUAUUCUUUUUUAAGAGUGCUUAAGAUAUGGUCGGUCCGAACGUGAAAGCGUUUGGGUAAGUUUACCUAAGUGUGUGAAAUCACUUAAUAACAAGAAACGUUCCGUAGGUGAACCUGCGGAAGGAUCAUUA